rfam:Jeotgalibacillus malaysiensis strain D5, complete genome.
CCCGUGCUACAACCGCUCAUAACAGGUUAUUAAGCACUGAAAAGUCACCUGGUAUAUGGCGAGUCUGAGUGAAAUU